GCAGCUGCAGCCUCUCAGCUUUGCAAAGAGAAGCUUGGAGUUCUCCAUCGCCCCACUCAGCUUUGAGGAGCUGAUGUUGCAUACAGCUAUCCCAAAGUGUGUGGGCGGCCAGCACCUUGGCACCUCCAGCUUACCAAGCAAAUGAUAACACCCAGCCUUGUACUCCUGCAAUCAAAGCAGCCCUGGAGCUGUGAACUCCCCCAGACUUUUUUCUUAGCUCCUGAGAGCCCACCAACACAGCUGGGAGCGCACCUCCCUGCCAGGGAGCAAUCACUGUGACUAGCUGCAGCUGUCAUGGAAGAGCCGCCAUUAGAGGAGAAGCCCAGCUGCGAGGAGGAGGCCUGCUGCAGCCUUUCUUUAAAAGAGCAAUCUUUUGGGACAGGAGAGGUAGUUUCAGGAGCUGUACUCCAGAGAGCCCGAUCAAAGAGUUUGGUGAUGGGUGAGCAGAUUGGGCCUCCCUCCAGACCUUCUUCUCCUAACCCUCAAGAACGUGUGGUGAAGUGCGGCUGGCUGAAGAAACAGAGGAGCAUUAUGAAGAACUGGCAGCAGCGUUGGUUUGUGCUGCGUGGAGACCAACUCUUCUAUUAUAAGGAUGAAGAGGAAACUAAACCUCAGGGUCUCAUUCUGCUGCAAGGCAAUCAAGUGAAUGAGCUGCCACCUAAUCCUGAUGAGCCUGGAAAACAUCUAUUUGAAAUUGCCCCAGGUGGUGCUGGAGACCGGGAAAAGAUGCCUGUCAAUCAUGAAGCUUUCCUGCUUAUGGCUAAUUCCCAGAAUGAAAUGGAAGAUUGGGUGAAAGCCAUCCGACGGGUUAUAUGGGCUCCUUUUGGUGGAGGUAUUGCAAAUAGCUCACAUGCACAUAAAUUAAAACAUUUGCCUCAAGGGAUCUUUGGACAGCGAUUGGAGGACACUGUGCAGUACGAGAGGAAGUAUGGCCAGCGGUUAGCCCCACUGCUGGUGGAACAGUGUGUGGAUUUUAUUCGGGAGCGAGGUCUUACAGAGGAGGGACUCUUUCGGAUGCCUGGUCAAGCCAACCUUGUCAAAGAUUUGCAGGAUUCUUUUGACUGUGGAGAGAAGCCGCUCUUUGACAGCAACACGGAUGUUCACACUGUGGCGUCCCUCCUGAAGCUUUACCUCCGAGAGCUGCCAGAGCCUGUCAUCCCCUUUGCCAAAUACGAAGACUUUCUUUCUUGUGGACAGCUACUCUCAAAAGAUGAGGGAGAGGGUACUCAGGAACUGGUUAAACAGGUGAAGAAUUUGCCCCAAGCCAACUACAACCUCUUGAAGUACAUAUGCAAGGGGGGCUUUUUAAGGUUCCUUGAUGAAGUUCAGGCUCACUCCAGCGUUAACAAGAUGAGUGUUCAGAACCUAGCUACAGUAUUUGGACCAAAUAUAUUACGACCCAAAAUGGAAGAUCCAGUGACCAUGAUGGAAGGCACCUCACUGGUUCAGCACCUGAUGACGGUGCUGAUAAGUGAACAGGGGAGAAUCUUUGCUGUCCCUCAGGCAGAUGUGCCAGGGAGCCAACUGGAAAUUAGACCCGUGCGUCCACGCAACACCGUGGAGUGGAUCUCUGAGGAGGAUGGAGAGGACAGCAGGUCAGAAAGCAAUGUUCCCAGCCCUGCUGAUCUGCCUUCUGGCAAUGCUGUGUCACUGGAGGCCACCCCUGGACCUGUAUUGAAAAACACCCCUCCGGAGCACAGCAGCAAGUUGGCUCAGCCUGCCACCAGUCCCAGCAAAAGAGUGCAGACGCUGCCUCCAUGGAAAUACUCCUUCCGCCAACAGGGAGCACGGUCUGGGAGUCCAAAGUUGGGCAGCUCAUCCCUAGACAUCCCCAAUCUCUCCUCGAGUGGAAACUGGCUAAUGAAUGGACUGUACUCUCUCCGAGGCCACCGCCGGACAGCCUCUGGGGAACGAGUUAAAGACUCUUGUUCUUCUCAAAGACUUUCUACUUAUGACAAUGUCCCUUCGUCCAGCCUCUCCCUCAGCACACACAGUAUGGGCAGCACCACUUGGUCUACAUCGUCGUGUGAGAUCUCCGUGGUGGACUCAGUCAGCAGCUGCCCAGCCUGUCGGGCCAGUGACUCCUCGGCUUUAAGCUCUCUCCAAACUGAGUGGAUGACUCAGGGCUCACUGUCUCAGAGUGAGGUCAAGACUGCAGAUCUGGAGAACAGCAUCGACAGGUUAGAAGCCUGCAGCAGCAGCAGUGAGCAGAGCAACCUAGCUCCAGCUUCCAGAGACUCUGUCAGAUGCUCUAGGGCCUUACAGAGCUUGGUGGUAGAGCUAAAGACAGAACUGAGCAAACAGAGGACUGAGUACGAGACCAGUAUCAAAAGAAUUGAAGAAGCAAGUGCAGACCUGAGGAAGCAAGUGGUUAGGCUAGAAGAAGAACUGGACCAAGAACGAAAGAAAUACACAAUGCUGGAGAUAAAACUGAGGAAUUCUGAACGUGCUCGGGAAGAUGCAGAGAAGAGGAAUCACCUCCUGCAGAAGGAAAUGGAAGAGUUUUUUUCAACAUUAGGAUGUUUAACUGGUGGGAGUCAAAGUGCUAAAGUCCCCAAAUAGAACAACCUGAUGUACAUCACAGAAAACUCUAUUUCUGGCAAAACCAGUGAAAAUGCACAUUUUGUUAUGUUAUACUCAUGUAUCAUGAGUAAUUCUGCAGUGAUUGUGCUCUCAGCAACAUGUGCUCUGUUGUCUUUUCAUGUUCUGUAGUAUUUGGGCCAGCUGGGAAAAGACUGCUAAACGUAAUGCUCUAACAUUUAGAUUUUCAGGAACAAGAAAGGACAUACUUCCUAUCCACAGGUCAAAAGGUUCUGGUCUCCAUUGCUGUACUUGUUCCAUCUUUGGAUUUCCUGCACCAUCCUUUUGCUGGUUCAAGGACAAUGGAAAGGUAACUUAUUUUUACUUUGAGCCAAAAAUCGAGCAGCAUUAGCUACAAGAAAAAAGAAAUCUCAUAUGAGUUGAUAUGUAGUGAUCAGACAUCAAGGUAAGAAAAGGAAAAUUCUUAUUAUAAUCAAAACACAUCCAACUGAGGUGGGUAUUUUAACUUGAAUAGCAAAACUAUUGUAAGAGAAAUUAAUGCAGUUAGUGAUGGAGAAAGGAAAGGGUGGGAUCUACCUUUAACUGUCACAGGAGAACAGCAGUUGAUUUUUUUGGUUGCAAGUAAGUUUAUGGGGAUAUGAGAGAAUAGAAGGAGAACUGCAAACAAUCUAGUAGCCUAAGUUCACUACAUCUACAAAAAGAACACACAUUAUUAGAAUGAAGUUGUAAUUCCAGUAAUUACUUGUCAGGGCUCACUUCCCUUCAAGGAACUGACUGACUGGGGAAGUUCUGCAUAACAUUUGGAGUGCCCCCAGUCAUACAGAACCUGCACACAGAACACUAUUUCACCAGAUCCAUCUUGAGGAAAUUUUUGACAGCUGAUGCAGCUUGGGUGUCUCAAAGGAGAAUGAUUUUAACAGAAAAGUCCCAUGACCACAUGAACUGACUAGGAACUGAUAUAGAGACUGCAGUGAAGGUGCUUGCUUCAUUUAACUAUUUAAAAAGAAAAAUGACCUUGCUUUGUUUUUCUUGCUAGAAAAGAAUAUAACUCAUUAUCUGGCAGUAACCUUGGAAUGGGCUUUUUGCAGUACGAGCACACUGCGCACCUUCUUUCACUGCUCAUGUUCUCCUUAUCUCACGGAUGGCUGAACAGAAGUUAAUUUGUUUCUGCCUCACUAUAGGGAUCCUCCUUCCCACAGAAAUGUAAGCCACUUAAAGUGAGCAAAAAGAAACAUAUUAGCCUCAUAUUUCCUGGUUACAGCAAGUCAAGCAAAGCAGUGAAAUAUAACUAACCUGUUUGGGUAUUUUUGAACAGUUUCCAAGCACGUCCAACUGCACUGGAUUCUUAACAACCCCUGUGGUGAAGCAGUGUGGCACAAUCCUGACUGUUCAGCAGGAGCAGCCUGCCACCUGCAGGCAGCAGCAUCAGCCUUAACUGCCCCUCCUUGUAAUACUAACGAGCAUCACCACAGAUCAUAUCCUUCCAGUGUAUUACUACUGGUCACAGCUCCUCACCAGCUUACAGGGUCACAACUGAGCCUGCAAGGAAGACAGUGGCCUGUUUAAAACAAUUAAGAUGCACAAAGUGUAAGGAGCAAUUCCUGUAACAAUGAGUCUCAGCUGGAACAUCAUAGUGGCUUUAGGUAGAGUGAAGUCUAAUAACAGUCCUCAAAAAUAAACCUUGGUGUCAAAGUAUAGCCUGAACUAGGCUGUAAAUAACUGCAAUUAAAAUACCAGGCUGGUAAAAGUGACAGUGUGUACUACCAGAGGCAUUCAAUCCAAAGUAGCAUCAAUAAGGCUAUUUUUGUACCUUCUUACCCCAGCACAGGUACUUUUCAUUAUAUCCAACAUCCUGACAGCCUACGUCCCUUAAACAAUUCAUACUGCAUUACUUCCUGUAUGUUUCAAGUACAGACUACUCUCUUUAAUUCCAGGACGCUACAAUACAAACUGAGCCAUGCUGAUUGAGCGCCUAAAAAAUACGCAAAGCAAGGAGAACUAAACCAGAAUGCUCACUAGCUCUCAUAGAAAUCAAAUGAGUCAAUUCUCAAUAUUCUUUAAGUAAGUACUGAGAAUACCAGACAACUAAUAUCUACAGCCAAAGUGAGGAACAAACUCACCCAUCCCAAGUCUUCAGCUCCAAGACAGGAUCACCUAUUAGCUGUGUUGCACACUACGUGGUCUAGCAGUCAGAAUAAAUUUGAUUCUUGUCAGUUUCGCAGAGCAAACUGUAUCUGCUCACAGCAAUUAAUGGAACUAACAUUCAGUUGACUGUUGUGCUCCAGAAAUAUGUAUUCCUCUUCUUCAGAAGUAAUAGAUCUCAGGUCAUUUUGAAGAUGAUCCACUGCAGUACAGGCUGCAAGAAAUUACAUUCUACCCUGUUCUUGCUAAAAUAUACCUCGGCAGAAAGCAGACUCCAAAGCAUGGUAAGAGACACAUAAUGUUCAUUUCCUCUCGUGAGCUAUUUUGCAAGAAAUGAGGAUACUCUCAUGCUGUUGGACGUAACCCCAUGGAUCACCAUCUCCUUUUUUGAGGAGGAUAAUACUAUCUUUAGUGACAGCCGCACACUCUUUUUCCCACCACUUCAUCUGCCUAUCUCACAGAUCUAAGCACACUCCUUAUUUUACAGGCAUUUAGCUUCUUCCAGCAACCUCCCUUCCCCCCAGUUAAACUGAAGCCUUAACAGCGGUUUACAGGUUUGCUAGUCCUAAUAAGACACAGAAUCAGGUAGCAUUCUAGCUUGGAACAUUGCUUCCAACGUUAUGCAGGCAAAAAAGAAACAAAGAAAAAAAAAUUCAGUGAAAGAAACUCAACAUAAGCGCAUACUUGAAAAAAUAAAUCCAAAGCCAAAUAUUCGAGAAUAAUAAAGAAAUUCCAUAGGUCUCCAUGGUAUUUCUAAUAUGAAAAGGAAAAGUAGUAAUGCUAACUUACUGAAUGAUCCACAUUUGCCAAAGAGGUCUAUACAGGCUGGCAGCAGUAUGCAGUUUCAGCUUUAGGUUUAUGAGCCAGAACUACUGCCCAAAAUGAUAAAAAAUGAAGUUAAUACAGCUAAAUCCCUGACAGAGCUAAGACUGUCUCAGGCCUUACUCUAUAUUCAUGUGUUACUUAGAACCAGCCCCACUUUAUGCUAACAUAGGCAAAUAAAAAAGAACAUCUCUGAGCCUCACCGCUUUCCUAGAAGAACACCUCCUGAAGAGCUGCUCCAGAGGAAGGAGGCAGGCUGUACCAUACUGCUCACAGCUGCGGCACCUUCGCCUCAAAAAUGGGACGCAGAGACAACAUGGCAGCAUGCAGCCAAACACAAUUUGAGGGCAUCCCGAGUCUUCAUUUAAAGGAACUCACAGAGCCUGCUGGAAAUGAAGGUAAUUAAGUAAGUACUGGUAGUGAUACCAGUGCAGGAAGUGGUCCUGUCACCCAAAUUUGCUCUCCAGUAAGAGCCCUUCAAAAAUCAGGUAUCUUAAAGCUUCUCUGGCAAUCAGCUCUGAGGUUUUUUUUCCUAAAGGCCCAGGCCCUGUGCCCUCACACACUGGCAGGGCCGUAGCUUACCUCUUUCUAGCAUACAGGAAGCUUCAUUACCAGGAGGGCAGGCAGACUGCAGUUGGCAGCAAAGAAGCAAGAAUGGAAGAAAUACAGCAUUUUUUGCCUACACGUGAGCUCAGACACAAAAAAGAACAUAAAUACCAUUUAAAACAUUUUUCAGGAAAGACCAACGCUAAUACAAAUCCAGCUGCAGUCUUACUGUCAAGUCCAUGCUUGUCAUUGCAGCCUAGCAAUGAAGAAACACUAAAUGCAUAGUGGUCAAGCUUUUUUUUUCCCCUUUUUUAUUUAAAAUAUCAUUAUAACCAAUUAACAUACUAGAUAACAAUGUAUACAUUCCAGUGGUGCACAUGUAAUGACCUAUGGCAUGAAUGAUUGAAAAAAACACAAUGCUUUCAGUAAUGCCCCACCAACAGCUUAUUUGGAGGGAAUAAAGGAAAAACAGGAAAGGUAUCAAAUGUAGGGAAGAAGAAAAAUAACUCUCCCAAUAUUUUUCAUGACGUAUCUUCCCCUUAGCAUCUCCUGGGACAAAACAAAAUUAAGAAUAUACUUUAAAAGGGGCAGAAGGGAUGAUCACAAUCAUUAAGGUGGUUUUUUUCCUUUCUCAACUUUAGUAAUAAAAGUUAAAGAACUCUCAAAAAUAGACUAGAUAUUGGGCCUACAAAAGUAAUUCAUCUGUAUGCAAAGCUUACCAAGAAUUAUUCCUUUUGUAAAAUGUAAAGGAUGAGCUGACAUUACUAGUAAGCUAUUUUUACCUACAAAACCAGACUACAAUAAUAAAAUCACCAAUUUACAACUAACACAAUAUUCUAGAUGUACAUUAUUGUACACAAGCUAUAUAUUACACAUGAACAUCUUACGUGAAAUAUAUAAGAAACAUAACUACUGAUAUUGUCUCAACAUUGGCCCAAAGGUUCAUUUUUCUAAAGGAAGUGUAUUUCUCUAUUUCACAUUCAGUGUAGUUCCAAUAGCAAGGGUUAGCUUUCCUUACUUAGAAACGUAGAUGGUUUGUGUGAGGUAGAUCAAGAAAACCUUGCUUAAAAUUUUAACGGCAAAAGUGGAAACAAUAUUAUCUGAUUUAUAACACAUCUAUAGAGAAGAGAGAUCUGCGUUAGGGAGUAAAAGAGAUCAACCAAAAUAUCACUUCUUUAAUCCAGUGCCCAUAACUAAAGAUGAACAAAACACUUUGAAAAUUUAGGUAGGCAGUAGAGUCUCAUCACAGAUUCCCAUUAAAACUCUUUCUAAUCCUAUGCAGACUGCUCUCUUUCAGCUCCAGUCCUCCAGCUACAUCCGGACAGACGAACCAAAAAUUUAACAAGCAAAUGAAAUACAACAAUGUGAACAAGCUGCUGCUAACAGCAAAUACUGGACUCCUGGUUGGUCAGGAACUAUGUGCCUGUAGUAGCUCUUUGAUGAUCUUUAUGCAGUGUUGAGAUUAAUGCCAUAUGUAUUAAUGCUGAAGCAUUAUAAAUCCAAAAUGUCAGUCAAGGUGCUGAGUUUUUGCUUUCUAACAGAAUAGCUUUUACGUUCAGAGAAGCAAUUUUCUGUAAUGCAAACAUUCUGCUUCUACACUGAAACAGCAGAGGGUGCUAUUGCCAUAACCGUCUCAUUUCCAGCUCACUACCUCCUCUUAAAUUCACACACACAUGAUUCUGCACGUGCGUGGGGCAGGAAGGCUUACCAGUUUUAUGCUAACAUUAUCUUUGUAUCUAGCUGGAAUUCUCACCCAGAAAGAUACUACUAUACGUACAGUAUAGUCAGGUUUUUCUAAACCAAAUUGUUGAACUUCUAAACCAGCCCCCGCCCCCCCCCCCAUCCCUCUCCCCCCACUAACACACACCAAUCCCAGUUCUGACCCCAUCUACCUUCAACAAAAGACAUCACAGAUCAAAAGACAUCACAGAGCAGAGAUACAACACACAGUAACAGUAUUAAUCUUUCCUCCCGUACCUUUCCAUCUUUUUAAAAACCCUGAGGAACCUACUUCUGCAAAGGGAGAGGAGCUUUUCUCUUCUUGAAGCCUGCCACAGCUCUGGCCACAGGAGGUGGGAAUUAAUGUUAUUACUGCCCAAUUUUUAAGCUCACCUGACAUGAAAUCAGACACAGCUCACUGUAAUUCAAUCCCUACCAACUCCACUGGGUUGGAACAGCCCUAGAAAUGGAACAUUGCAUGCACUUUAGUAAAGCCCGUUGUCAUUAAAAGAUUUUGAAAUUGUAUACUAAAAUAAAGCUUAUUAUUUCAGGAAUAAAUUUUUACAGUGUAUUAGAUAGCAUAUUAGCUGGCAAUAGAAUAUACAAAAACAGUUGCACUCAAUACCUUUGUUUGCUAUUUGUGGCAGUGUACAACGAUCUCUGAAAUCAUUUUGUAUUUCAACAAAUAAAAAGAGCUAAGACUUGU